AGGGCUCUUAAGUAAUUUGCUUCACUUAUCAUUUCCCACCCGGAUGCUUUCUUGAUCUCCAGAAACUCAUCAUUCUACAAGAAGAAAUCAACUGAAACUCUCACCUCUUCAGAUCAUUUCCCUCCCUAGCCACCAGACUUCAGCACAGGAGAUACCCAGCCCCCUGGGAUUGCCUCUCAAUUACACUGUACGUAUCUUGUGUAUACAUAUGGAACACCGUCCUGGCCAAUGAGGACUCAGUCCUGGAAGCAUGAGCUCUCAAGUGAACCUGCUUUGGAAAAUGCCUGAUGAUAUGGCAUGGAGAGGCCCUGAUCUCCAUUUCAGAUGUCCUUUGGGUGACCCCAGGAUCUCUUUGGAGAUUAGGCCUGGCUAUGUUAAAAGGAAGAAAAUACAAAUGCCACCAAGAAAGGUAAUCACAACCUUUAUUUAAAACAUGAAAACGAACCAAAGAUGAGAAGAUGACUGUGAUUAGGAGCGGCCCUGAUGAAUUCCCUGAUGCAUCGUCUUUCUUCCCACCCACAAUUUGAAGAGGCUCUACCAAAAAGAAGACAAAGCUGUUAGACAAAUCCCUGGAGGCAUUCCCUUUUUAAAAAUGUUUUUUAAAUUUUUUCCAAUUACAUAUAAAAAAACAAUUUUUAUCA